GCCUCCCUGCACAUAUUUCGCAGAUGCGUAGCAUGGUCUUCAUGUGGGUCCUGAACAACUGGAGCGGGGUUACCCCCAAAGCUGCUGCCUGUCUGUCCGUGGGAUGUGGUCUUCUGGCUGGGCUGCCUUGUCUGGCCUCAGUGGAAGAAGAUGCUCUUAGCCCUGCAAAGACUUGAUGUGUCAAGGAUACUGUAGACUAGACUAUUCAUAAAGAGAAGACUUUUUUGGUUCACCGUUCUGGAGCCUGCAAGGUCCUCAGUUGCUUCUGGGGAGUAUCAAGUGCUUGUGAACCUCACACAGAAUG
rnacentral:lncRNA from 1 species